AGUUCAUCUGAAGCACUCGCCCAGGGCUGCCUGUGACAUCACUGACUCCUGAGACACUGGAUGCCAAGACUGUAACCAUGGUGACUUCUCUCAACCUGCGUGUCCCUGAGAAGAUUCACUGAGAUGGCGCUAUUGUUAAAGCCACAAGGAAAAGCCUUCUCCAUACGUGUCUCUGCCAUCUCUUCAUGAUGAAUAAAAUAAUUGUCUAAAGUAGUUGGAAAGCAAAGGGGAGAUCUCACAAACUGGCAGAUUCCAAACUCCCUCCUUGAGUGCUGUACUCAGGGGCUGAAAUAUUUGUUCUCUAAGUGCCUAGAUUCCCCCCUACAAAACCAAGGAUGAAUACUACACCUCUCUCUAAUACUGUGUGGUGAAGGAAGUGAGAUUCUGGGAGGUCAUUUCACAGUGCCUACUGAAAUAAGUAAAACAAGAAAAGAAACCUGACCUUGUCUUCUAGAAUCGUUAGGCUAAAGUAAGUUGUUUCAGCCCAGUGGUGUGUCUCCACGCCAUUAGGAUUCUACAGGAGACAUUAUUUCAGAGGGAUAAAGCUGACUUUGAAAGAAAGGUGUUGAGCGUCACAAGGACCUGAGAAGAGAAGAUAGAUAGCCUGAACUGUUAUUUUAAGACGUUUGCUCUGUGCUCUGCUUUAAUGUGUUCUGAGUGUCAGUGUUCUCAGUGGAGAUGGGGCCUGGCACUUGUUACUGGAGAGAUAAGAAUUGGCUAGUCUCUUGUCGUCCCUGAGAACAGAACUACAACUCAAGGGACGUUUAGAACUCAUGCUUGGAAAAAUAGCAAUUCUCCCUCCUACCAAAAUGACCAUCCAUGAUAAAGAAGUUAGCGAUUGGACCAAAGCUAUCCUACCAACACUCCUGGUUCAUUAUUACUCAGCAAUAAAGAAAGCUAACUGCAAGCAUAGCCUUGUGGUAUUCCGGGAAGCAGGAAUCUAGAGUUGGAAGUGACGUGUCUGGUGCUGAUCAUUGAACUCCCUAAUGGCUCAGGUACGGAAGAGUUGCUUCUGGGAAGAUGAACAGAGAGAUUCGGGAUGGGGCUGUUCUCCUCACGGUUGUGGCUACUAAAUCAGCGCAUGCCUACUGAUCACUUAGUUUGGUUUUUAUCUUCAGGUGCUGUGUCUUAGACUGGUGUUCUGUGAAGAGAUUUUGCAGAUGUUGGUAGACAGGAAGCUCACCAAAUGGCAGACCUUUUGUGUCAGUCACCUCUCCUGGUUGUAUGGAAUUUCAGGACAUUUGCUGAAUUCUACCAGGCACGACUCACAGUGAUACACGAGGUGGGUCGAAGGGCCAAGUCCAGAAGGAUCUUCUUGAAUCAUGGAAAUGUCUACUUCACUGAUGUGACGGCUCGGUGGGAAUGAGGGCUGGUAAUAAAGCCCCAAUUCGUGUUUA